CGAAGCCCCAUGCCCAGCCCGUGCCGGAGCGCCAGCUUACCGUGCGGCCUCCGCGCUGCCAGCCAGGGGAAAGGGAGCGACGGGGUUUCCCGGGCGCACAAGUCGGGCGUCAAGUCUCGCGAUACUUCAAAGUUCUCGCGAUAACGGGGCUAGAGUAGGCGACUCCGCCUGUCUCAGGGCAAACGUGCCUUCAUCUUCGCUCAGGUGGGAGGGUGUAUGGUGAGGGAUAGAGGAGCAACUGGAAAUGCUGCUGGGGGGCGCGCGUGGAGGCCAGUGUUUCCUUCCAGCCUUUCCUUUUUUCCGAGAGGAGCGUUAAAGAAGAGGGAACUCCCAUCUGGAGCUGGGGGAACCUGGCUUUGUUGGCGUUGUGGUGGCCGGCAGGAGUAGCGGUAGAAGAUACUGAGGGCGGAAGCUCGGGGGAAGUUGAGUGGGCGGGAAAGAAGACCUGGCCUCAAUGGAUGACCCUUUUUCCGGGUGGAAGUGACUUUUCCAUGGCCGGAAGUGAAAGUAGUAAGGGCGGAACUGCGACAAGAAAACUAGGGGAAGGGCAAGAAAGAAAUGAGGCCACUGCCUUUACUUCUUCCAUCACCAGUACUCGCGAGAGCAGGAGCUGGAAUCUUCACCCUUCUUAGGGCGGAAAUUGCUUCAACUGCUCCUUGGAAUCCUUUCUCUGAAGUUCUCAUCUGGGUUGGAAAUCAUGACUGCUUCUCUGUAUCAGAGUGACUUAGACCCUCCAGAAACAGUGACCCAGAAGUGGGUGAACAGAAAAUUUAGGGACUGCCAAGAACUGAAUUUGGAACCCACGCUGAAAUUGGUUUCAGACUGACUUUUAGCAUACAGGACACAGGACCAUGGGACCCCAGCAUUUGAGACCUGUGCAUCUGCUCUGCCUCCUAGGGGCCAUCUCUUCUCUACCUUGGGCUGAUACUCUUUUGUGCUAUGAAGCAAGAGCCUCAGCAUUCAGAGCUGUUACCUUCCAUAACUGGAGGUGGUUUCUGAUGAGGAGCAUGGUGUGUAAGCUGAGAGAAGGCUGUGAGGAGACACUAGUGCUCAUUGAGUCAGGGACCAGAAGGGGAGUUGUGGGGUUUAAAGGCUGCACUUCAAGCUUAUCUUAUCAUCAGCAAGUCUCCUACCUUGUUUCACCUCCUGGAGUGUCCAUUGCCUCCUAUAGUCACGUUUGCCGGACCUUUCUCUGCAAUAACCUCACCAACUUGCAGCCUUUUCUGAGGCUCAAGGCCAAAUCUGCUAAGUCUACCUCAAGUUCUUCAAAUACUUGCCCAACGUGUGUGGGCAGGCACAAUGAGGAGUGUCUUCCAAAUUUUGUCUCCACUGAGACUUGUCCCUCUGUUGCCCAUAGCUGUUUCAGUUCCACCUUCAAAUUUCAGGCAGGGACGCUCAAUACCACCUUCCUCAUCUUGGGCUGUGCUCGUAAAUAUCAGAAUCUCUUAUCAGAUUUUCAUCAUAUUGGAAGUAUCAAAGUGACUGAGGUCCUCAACAUCAUACAGAAGUCCCAGACUGUUGGUGCGGGGCCCUCUAGUCAAGAUCCUUCUUGGGGCAUUCUCUUAGGCCUCCUGCUUGUCUUCAGGACAGACAGAAGAAGCCAGAGGUGUGGGGCAGAAGCAGAGCAGACAGCCUUCAGGGGCCACUUGCUUUCUUCAAAGAUGGAGUCGGGCCCACAGGCCAGGGAAGCUAGAAGCUGGAAAAGCUCCUGUCUCCCAGGAAGAGGAACCCUGUGGGAGCAACUUAGAGACCAUGAUUCCCCUGCGUGACACAGGAGAGAGCUGACCUGGAACUUGAGGAGAGUGUCUGCCAAGAGACGUUCCCAUAUGAACCAAAAGAGCAAAGGAGGGAAGGGGGUCUUUAUUCAGCGCCUUUCCAGGUCAGCAGCGGUGACUUAGAUUAAAGCAGCCCGCGCCGGAAAGAAACAUCAAUCAGGCACCGAUGGAAACGCCUGUCAAUCAGCAGAACCCCCUGGCCAAUCCUGGAUCUCAGCCAGCUCCCCUGACCAACUCCAGCGGGACAAGGGACCCUAAAAAUCCCUUUUCCUGUCCCAAGCCCUUCCCUUCCUGCCAUGAGCCCUGUAAAAUCCCAGUCCGGUGGAGCUCCCACGCGCUUUCUCCUCAGCCCCUCCUCCUGUCCACUCUGUCGGUCUGAUGGAGUUCAGCCUGGGAGCGAGUCUCAAUAAAGCCUUGUUUGGUGGCCUUUUUAAA